CCUGGCUAUGCUGGCAGAGCAUGGCAUUUACACUGCCAAGGUUAGAGGUUCAAUUCCCACUGGUGCCACCA